GGAAUAUUGCGCAAUGGUCGAAAGACUGACGCAGCGACGCCGCGUGUGGGAUGAAGCCUUUCGGGGUGUAAACCACUGUCAGAAGGGAAGAACCCCGUACGUUCGAACAGGGCGUACGGCUGACGGUACCUUCAGAGGAAGCGCCGGCUAACUCCGUGCCAGCCGCCGCGGUAAGCCGGAGGGCGCAAGCGUUGUUCGGAAUUACUGGGCGUAAAGCGCACGCAGGCGGUCUUUUAAGUCUUCUGUGAAAACCCGGAGCUCAACUCCGCGGAAUGCAGAAGAUACUGGGAGACUGGAGAUCGGUAGAGGCUAGUGGAAUUCCUGGUGUAGCGGUGGAAUGCGUAGAUAUCAGGAGGAACACCGGUGGCGAAGGCGACUAGCUGGGCCGAAUCUGACGCUCAUGUGCGAAAGCGUGGGGAGCAAAC
rnacentral:rRNA from 1 species